UACGGGGGGGGCAAGCGUUGUUCGGAAUUACUGGGCGUAAAGGGCGCGUAGGCGGUCAGACCAAGUCGCGUGUGAAAUGCCAGGGCUUAACUCUGGCACGCUCGCGCGAUACUGGUCGGCUAGAGUGUGGAAGAGGAUGCUGGAAUUCCCGGUGUAGCGGUGAAAUGCGUAGAUAUGUGGAGGAACACCGAUGGCGAAGGCAGCCCCCUGGGUCAAGACUGACGCUCAUGCACGAAAGCGUGGGGAGCAAACAGG
rnacentral:rRNA from 1 species